UUGACAACCAUCUAAAUGACGUUUCAAGUUUCCAGUUCCACAUUUGCUUGUCACUUUGUAAUAACGAUGCCCACAAUAGACACACACACAUGUUUUGGAACCAUCUGCACUAGUAGUAACUUUAUAGUGAUUCCAAACAGCUGACCUCGGUUUUCUUUUGUUCGUUGGGGGCUUAGCUGUGGGAUUGGACGUCCCUAAACCAGUUUCUGCAUCUGUGGCAGAAGGGGCAACAGCUGCAGGGCUAGCAGUAGAAGCAAUACAAGGCAUUUCACUUGUAUAUGUCGUAAAAGUAUUUUCAUCACCAUCGGUAUCAUCAUUGCAAGACAUAAUUACCUAUAACAACAAAGAACAAAUAACUAUUAGUACAUAAGAUUUAAAUGAGCAAUAAAAGACAAUCAAAAAUUGAGAUCACACUACAACAACUGUUACAAUAAUCUAUAGCCACGCUGCAGACGCACAAUCACAAGAAGAGCAGCAAAGGGAAAGUGGAACACAGCCUCAUUUUCGAAACUAAAUCAUCUUUUUCCAAAUGUAGAUUCUGUCUACAAUUUAUUUCCAUUAACAGUUUAACACUAUAUUAAUGAUAUUAUUGUGGAUUCAAAAUAACUAAAUCAAAAUAUGAUCAAGAGAAAAUAAAAAAGUGAAGUAAAAGACACUUUCUAGGGAUUUGAUAUAGGUGCAACGUGGUUCACAAGCAUUUUGUAAAUAGCUUAAUGGUUAAGUGCAUACUCUUUUCUCAUAGAAAUCUGAAAUCUACGAGUCCUAAAUUCUUCACAAUCCAAAUUCUUCUCAAUCUCGAAAAUAAAUACAAGCAUAAUUUGUAUUAUUGAAUGAAUCACCGGCGUUGGUGACUUACCGGAGAAGAGAGGCAGCUGGCACUGGCAGGGAGUUAAGCGCGCUUCUCUUCCGAUUCAGCGGAUGUUUGAGACGGCGGCGGAGGUGGAGGUGCGCCGCUGGAGAGUGGUCACUGGAGGUGAGUCGCCGGUGACUAGAAGAGAAGCCUCUUCCGAUUCGGCAGAUGUUUAAGACGGCGACAGAGGUGGAGGUGCGCCGCUGGAGAGUGGUGACUGGUGGUGAGUCGCCGGUGACUGGCCGCGCCGCCGUGGCCGUCGCUCGUCAGCACGUCUCGCCGUCUCGGUGUGGCCGUGUGGUGUGGGAGGGGUGGGUUUCCAAGUUUGCAGAACUGCAAAUUUGAAAUGAGACGUGUGCGGCGCUGGAGUCAAAGACUCAAAAUCAAAACCCUAAAGGCU
rnacentral:lncRNA from 1 species